UUUUACCUACAAUUUCAUAGCAUGCCACCCAUCUUUAACGUAGAUGCUAUACAAUCUGAAUUAGCCAUUCCAAACAAGAUUUUUAUGUUGUUGUUUUUCAUUAGCCCCCUUUGGAACAUGCAAAGUAGGAUAGAAUAGAAUAGAUUUUUAUUCAAGUAGACUUUUACAGGUGAUUUUGAAUCAUCAAAAUAAUUUACCAUCCAUGACUGUAACAGCCUAUUCAAUCAUGUAAAAAAUCUUGCAAGUUUGCCAUUAGCCUAUGUUUUCUUGUUUGUUGAAGGCUUUGAGUCUUAUAAUAUUGAUGGCCUUGAUGGCCACUGUCUGAUUGAUUUGACAGCUUGUUCGGAAUAGCCGUUCUAUCACUUUAUUCAAUAUCCUAUACUGUUUUGACGAGAUUCAACUUAUUUGGCGAGAAUGACUGUAACAGAAUCACUGUAUAAUAUGUGCGCAGAAUUUCGGUAAUUUUUUCAUAAACACCCAUAGAACGAGUUUUGCAGUUUCACAAAAUCCAUAUCGAUCAUCGCUUUACAUCAACAGAUAGCAUAAAUAAUGGGUAGCACAGAAUAAACGACUUUAAAACAAGAAGUUUUAAGUCCAAUUUAUUUCACGAAACAAGUUUUUAAGAUGUAAUCUACUUUGUAAUCCUUUGGUAAUUGAAUUGACUUUUUGGAAUUCUUAUAUCAAUAAAUACCCGUCUUAUAAUACUAACGUUGUACUGAUCACUUCGCUUAACACUAAUGUGAUUUUUAAACAAUAAUAAUAAUUAACAAAAUAGGAUACAUUGCCAUUGGGAAUAUAAAACAAUAAUAUUAAUAGUAAUAGGUUUCUAGUUAAUAUGCAGAUCAACUAUUCUCUCAAUUCCUGAAACGCAUUGAUAAUGGUGCCUUCACAAAAUUAAUCUCUUUAUUUAAUUGACAGCACAGUGGGGA